rnacentral:rRNA from 1 species
AUAGUCGGGCUUGAUUGGGAACAAUAACAUGGUUUAUGUGCUCGUUCUGGGUAAAUAGAGUUUCUAGCAUUUAUGUUAGUUACUUGUUCCCCGGAUAGUUUAGUUACGUAGCCAAUUGUGGAACUUUCUUGCUAAAAUUUUUAAGAAUACUAUUUGGGUUAAACCAAUUAGUUCUUAUCAAUUAUAACGAUUAUCAAUUAACAAUCAAUUCAGAACUGGCACGGACUUGGGGAAUCCGACUGUCUAAUUAAAACAAAGCAUUGUGAUGGCCCUAGCGGGUGUUGACACAAUGUGAUUUCUGCCCAGUGCUCUGAAUGUCAAAGUGAAGAAAUUCAAGUAAGCGCGGGUCAACGGCGGGAGUAACUAUGACUCUCUUAAGGUAGCCAAAUGCCUCGUCAUCUAAUUAGUGACGCGCAUGAAUGGAUUAACGAGAUUCCUACUGUCCCUAUCUACUAUCUAGCGAAACCACAGCCAAGGGAACGGGCUUGGAAUAAUUAGCGGGGAAAGAAGACCCUUUUGAGCUUGACUCUAAUCUGGCAGUGUAAGGAGACAUAAGAGGUGUAGAAUAAGUGGGAGAUAUUAGACCUCGGUUUGGUAUCGUCAAUGAAAUACCACUACUCUUAUUGUUUCCUUACUUACUUGAUUAAAUGGAACGUGUAUCAUUUCCUAGCCAUUAUACGGAUAUAUUUAUUAUAUCUUAUGGUAUUGGGUUUUGAUGCAAGCUUCUUGAUCAAAGUAUCACGAGUUUGUUAUAUAAUCGCAAACAAAUUCUUUAAUAAAACGAUGCAUUUAUGUAUUUUUGAUUUGAAAAUUUGGUAUAACUCCAAUUACUCAGGUAUGAUCCAAUUCAAGGACAUUGCCAGGUAGGGAGUUUGACUGGGGCGGUACAUCUCUCAAAUAAUAACGGAGGUGUCCCAAGGCCAGCUCAGUGCGGACAGAAACCACACAUAGAGCAAAAGGGCAAAUGCUGACUUGAUCUCGGUGUUCAGUACACACAGGGACAGCAAAAGCUCGGCCUAUCGAUCCUUUUGGUUUAAAGAGUUUUUAACAAGAGGUGUCAGAAAAGUUACCAUAGGGAUAACUGGCUUGUGGCGGCCAAGCGUUCAUAGCGACGUCGCUUUUUGAUCCUUCGAUGUCGGCUCUUCCUAUCAUUGUGAAGCAAAAUUCACCAAGCGUUGGAUUGUUCACCCAUGCAAGGGAACGUGAGCUGGGUUUAGACCGUCGUGAGACAGGUUAGUUUUACCCUACUAAUGACAAAACGUUGUUGCGACAGCAUUCCUGCGUAGUACGAGAGGAACCGCAGGUACGGACCAAUGGCACAAUACUUGUUCGAGCGAACAGUGGUAUGACGCUACGUCCGUUGGAUUAUGCCUGAACGCCUCUAAGGUCGUAUCCGUGCUGGACUGCAAUGAUAAAUAAGGGGCAAUUUGCAUUGU